UAGGAAGCAAAGGGAUGAAUCUCUCGCUCUGAAGUGGAAAUUCAGCUCUUCAUGUCAAAUGUUCUGACAAUCAAGCAGUUUGCCACUGCCUAUGCACCCAGCCAGAAGCAGAGAUGAAAACAGUUAAUUGCUUUCUGAUAUUGGAGUUGAACUGAGGAUACAAUAUAAGGAUAAGGCAUCUGGAAAUAAUGCUCCUUUUAAGAAAUCUGGGAGAGUGAAGCAAGAGAAUUUUAGACCAAUCAGUAACAAAGGUUUGAUUUAACAAAGGUAUGUUUGACUAAAAUCACUCAAGCUCUAAACAUGAACAACUAGUAUAAAAGUAAGUAGAGAAUGGGAAGAAGCAAGGGAAAACUCUAUGAUAAAUUCUGGGAUCAGCUGAUGGACUGAACCUAUCUUCUGCUCCAUAAGGUAUCUGGCAUGCCAAGAAUGUGAAGCCUCAUAAUGAUGUGACUGAAUUGCACAACUUUGGCUCAGACUUCUCACUCAGACUGGUUUGAGAUUGAGCUGUGAAAAAGUCUGUAGAGCAAAGAUAAGGAAGAUAAAGUUGCAGACAGCCCCCAAAUCCAGCUCACUGAGUCAAGGCGCUGGUCAGACGUGUGAGACAUCCAGAUUCAAACCCUCACUCUGCCUGAAUCAGAGCAGUGAUUCAGAGCAACUCUCCCCAAAGACUCCUAAUCUAUCAG